rnacentral:rRNA from 1 species
AAUGAACGCUGGCGGCAUGCCUAACACAUGCAAGUCGAACGAGACCGCCGGGUGUAGUGGCGCACGGGUGCGUAACGCGUGGGAACCUGCACGUAGGGUCGGAAUGACUCUUCGAAGGGGGUGCUAAUACCGGAUAAUGUCUUCUAACCCAAGAUGUAUCGUCUUUGGAGGGGCUCGCGUUGGAUGAGCUAGUUGGUAGGGUAAAAGCCGACCAAGGCGACGUUACAUAGCUGGUCUGGGAGGAUGAUCCGCCACCCUGGGGAUGAGACACGUCCCAGACUUCUGGGGGAGGGGGCAGUGGGGAAUAUUGGACACUGGGCGAGAGCAUGAUGUAGCCAUGUCGCGUGAGUGUGUAAUGCGUUAGGGUUGUAAAGCACUGUUACACGGGCUGACUAUGACAGUACCGGAAGAAUAAGCUACGGCUAACUCCGUG